rnacentral:lncRNA from 1 species
CCCCACUCCAUUCUACCCCAACUGCUGCUUCUUCGUCCUUCUCAAUCCUUCCACCAUCAUCUCCAUCCAACAGAAAGCUCUGGUGACCAUGGGGAGAUCACAGAAGCAUGGUGGGAUUCCUGCACCUCAGAGGUGGACUAGAGCUCCUAAGACAACAUGAUGAAGACAUCCUGCAAAUACAGGAGCUGAGAAAAUCCAAAGAGAUCUUGGAGUCUGAAUUGAGGGCACAAGCUACUGUUCUGGAGACCCUUUACAAAUGCCAGAAAGAACUCAAGAGACAGGCAAGUCCUGGUUAGACUGAGAACUGGGCUGGAGAGGAACCUGGAGAACUGCUGUUCUGCCCAAGAGCUAUG